rnacentral:lncRNA from 1 species
UGGAACCCUUGCAUUCUUCUUGGCCAAAAGGUUAUGCAAGACUUAGACACCUACUUCUCUGUAACCUCUUGGGCAAGUGUUGGCUUUGCUGCAUAAAAGGACAAGGUAAAACGUCCACAACUCUCUUCCAAUGAUCAAGUUCCCAUAAUUCUGAAUGGAGCCUCUGGUUGCACCUGAGAAGCUUUGCAAGGAUGGUUGAAACCCAAACCUUCAUAGUUGAAGCCCAAACUUUUAUAUACACCAGGCUCCAUCAUGGGCUUCCAAAACAGCACACUUUUUGGUGAACAAUUGUUGCCAAACACCAAGUAUCCUCUUGUUUAAGCCUCACCAUAUAAUCUUGUUCUAUAAUUUUUGGUGAACAAUUUUUGCCUUUUUGUACUUCAUAUGAUAAUGCUGGUAGUUUGAAAAAAAAAGACUAUACCGCAUUUUGAGAAGAAGAAACACAAAUUAUAUGCG